GGUUAGUUGCUUGUGUUUUUCCUAUUACCAGCACUAUCACAUGCCAUUAUAAUUUCUCUAUUUAUUCUCAACUUCUUUUAUAGACUAUCAACUCCCUGAGGGCUGGGACUAGUUGGGACAGUUCCAAGGAUGUGUGGAAUCAAAGAAGAAUUUGAUAUUUUGGGGGGAAACUUAGAACCACGAAUUAUAAUAUGAUUGUGUACUUGAUUCAAAAAUGUGUGGGAAAAGAUAGAGAGAU
rnacentral:lncRNA from 1 species